rnacentral:antisense_RNA from 1 species
CUUGAUCGACCCGAGCAGCAGGGGGUGCUCGCGGUCCUGGCCGUAGGUGGCGAGCACGGCCUGCGCCUC